rnacentral:lncRNA from 1 species
GAUUCCCGUUGCGCAGCCCUCUGUCAUGGACGACAUUGAGGUGUGGCUCAGGACAGACCUGAAGGGUGACGACCUAGAAGAGGGUGUCACGAGUGAAGAGUUUGAUAAGUUCCUGGAAGAAAGAGCCAAAGCUGCAGAAACAGUUCCAGACCUGCCCUCACCCCCAACAGAGGCCCCUGCACCAGCCUCAAACACUUCAAACCGGAAGAAGCCAGAGCGGUCUGAGGAUGCGCUCUUUGCUCUGUGAGCUGUCCUGUGGUCUGCCGCGCCCUGGCAGGUCACUGCUGACUCUCCCAGUGGACACUGGGCACUGGCCACUCCCCCAGCCUGCAUACCUGUAUCUCCAUGGAAAUGCCACUGUGUUUGCACCCAGGCCACCCUGGUCAGGAGCAACUUUGCCACCUUCUCUCUGGGUGGCAACUGCAGCACUGACCAGAGGUCCUGUCCUCCCUCCCCCCGAGGGCCCUCGUGGCCUUCGGUCUUCCCAGAAAGAACCAGUGGCACAGCGCCAGGCAGGGUAGCCCCUUGACACUUUCUGGUCAGAACUCCUGAACUGACCCUCUCAUCUCCCCUUCCUGCUUCUGCCUAGCUCCAUGGCUUCCUUCAGGUGAGACACUGCUCCACUGGACCCCCUUCUUCCAUCAAGGAUUCUGAGAAAGCAGGGCUCAAGCGUUUGUAACUACAGACUUGGUUUCUCUCCUUGAACUGUGUGGUACCUGUGGCACUUAGUGUGUCUGUACUUGAGUGGGUUCUGUGGUUACUACCUUGAAGGGCCCUCAUGUCCCUGGCCCCUUCUCCAUCAGUCGACUGCCAGGCCUGGGACCAAGACAGGGACCUGUGGCUCUUGGUGUGACAGCAGCUGUGAGGGCAGCAUGUGCCCCGCAGAUGGUAGACGGCUUACUCCAGGCACGGCAUGCACACUCACAUUCAUACCCGGCCCUGGUGUCUACAGAGGGUUAUUUGCUAAAGCAACAUGACUUUAAUGCAUCCCAUGACUAGACUUGGUCUUCAACAGCCUCCGCAAGCUAUCUCUAGGCCCAGAAGAAGGUAGCUAUGGGCUGUGCCUGGAGGUUCCAGAUGACCAGGAGCCAUACUCCAGUCCUCUCCUCUCCCUGACAUGGCCUCAGCCUUCAUGGCUGUCCCCACCUCACAUAUCUCUAGCCACCAAUUCAUUCUGAAGCUUGCUAACAGCCUCAGUCUGAGCAAAUGAGAGCUGGCAAUGCCCGGCGGGUCUGGCAAGGCCUUAUCUGGCAGGACCUACGGAGGAUGUCAUUCAGGCUUGCAAAGGCAUCCAGGAAGCCCCUCCUGCAGGGAGCUCAGUUGACCUGCUGAAUGCCCAGACCUCUCUGAGCAUCUGUCUCACCUCCACCCUCCAUUCAGGACCCUUGGCCAACCAGAACUUCUCUCAGUGUUUCUCAAGGGCAGAGCCCUCAAAGGCUGGCCUGGCUGCUAAGGCUUCUGACGGCUUGUCACAUCAGAGGCGGCCAGGGAGCUCAGUGUACCUGAAAGCUUGGCCUUUGGCACAGUUCUAGAAGGGUUGUCUGUGAGAGUCAGCUAUACACAGCCUACAAGAGUUGGACAUGUAGGAAAUAGCAACCAGGCCAGCAUCUCUGAAUUAAGAGGCUGCCCCUGUUUAUGGAUGACAUAGAAAGGGAGAUAGGCUUCCAUCAGGGAGAGAGCCUGAUGGGGGUCCCCAACAAGGCUGUUCCUAGUACCAGUGUCCAGAGCUGUCCUCUGACCUCCUGACUCCAGCUGCUGGGUCUGACUGAAGCUGGGCUGCUGUGGGGGCAGCAGGUACUCAAGGACUCCCACCAGCCAUCAAGAGGCUACCUCUCUGGCUGGGACCAGCCCAGCUAGUGGCUUGGUUUGUGUUCUUCACAUCAUGUCUAGAGGUAGUCUGCCUUAUCUGUGGGCUGAAGUGACAUGUGCCUGAGGCCUUUACCAGAAGCAAGACUGGGCCUGGGGGUCUGAGGGGCCUGAGGGAGGUUCACCUCUUGUGAGCUGUCCUGUCCUGAGGACUCUUUCCUGCCUCUUCCCCACCAUCUGUGGGUAAAGUCCUUAGAAGCUGGGCCCUCUCAAGCCAGCAGUCUCUACAAGUGUUAGAAAUCACAGAUAGAGUGUGUACUUAAUUACACUAAAUUAUCGCCGGGACUCCUCAUAAGCACUAAUUACACCUGAUUAUAGGUUAAAAUAUUUAUUUUGUCAAAAUAUUUUCUUGAGGAUGUAUUUAACCUUUUUUUGUUCAUUGUGUGCUGAAGUGUGAAGACUGCUUCUUCCUACCUUUUUGGCCAUCAGGCAGCAGCGAAGGAGCGUCUCCGGGUGCCCUAGAGUGACCUCUGCCCAGGUACUAAGAAGGCAGACUGGAGUUGGGCCGAGAGUCACCAACUCAUUUAUCUGUGCACGGGACAUGGGGGCUUGGAGCCAAAAGGGCUUCUUGGUAGCUGUGGCCCCGGCCAGCUUCCACUUACUCUGUCAGCCCCUCAGUGUGAGAGACUGUGACUUGGCUCGUUACCCUCGUCCUACCCACCUAGCCCACGCUGUCUGCCACUACACUGCUCAGCCAGGAAAGUGGUGGCUGGACCCUCCGUGGCCCAGGGCAGUGAGCUCCUUUGUUCCACCACAAAGCUCCCCUUUCCACUGUCCUCUGGCUGAUGGCCUCUCAGAUGGCGCAGGAUAGGUACUCUGGGGACCAGGUGGUCCUAGGUGGCUGGGAGGGCAGAGUGGGGCUUUUGUUCCUGCCUGGCCAGUCUGCAGCCUCCCUGUGUUCUGCUGUAGGGAUGCCUGGGUCUCCCUGUGUGCUCAGCCACACAGGAGGCCAAUAGGGGAGCAUGUCUCCACUUGGAGAUCCUCCCUUUGUGGCCAUCUGGAACCUGCUUAGCCCAGUGCGCAUCCCCAGCCCUUCACGUUCAUGGGGUCUAAGCUAGGCUUCCCCUAGCUCCCAAGAAUAACUGUCAAUCCUCUGUCCUGACUGCUCCCUCCUGCCACACUCAUGCCCUCAGGCUCUCUGGGAGAGCUGGGUAGUUUCUUCCUAAAGUUUGCACUUCCUUUGUGAGGAUCUGAGGAUCUUUGGAGCUGCUGAAAAGAUGGUGUUGAGUUUGUUAUUCUGUUGUCUCACGAGUCAGAUUCUUGUCCCUGUCCUGUUUCUGUGGGUAGAGCUGCUUCUGGAGGGUGGCUCAGAGUGACAACUAUUGUGUCUCCCUACCCCACUGGUUCUGCUUCCAAACACUGUCUCUAAUUUGUGUUCUUGCAUGUAAAGUACUCCACAAUAAAUAGUUGAACCAGCCC